AUGCGAUAAGUAAUGUGAAUUGCAGAAUUCAGUGAAUCAUCGAGUCUUUGAACGCACAUUGCGCCCCCUGGUAUUCCGGGGGGCAUGCCUGUCCGAGCGUCAUUGCUGCCCUCAAGCACGGCUUGUGUGUUGGGCCCUCGUCCCCCGGGACGGGCCCGAAAGGCAGCGGCGGCACCGCGUCCGGUCCUCGAGCGUAUGGGGCUUCGUCACCCGCUCUGUAGGCCCGGCCGGCGUCUGCCGACACCAUCAAUCUUUUUUCCAGGUUGACCUCGGAUCAGGUAGGGAUACCCGCUGAACUUAA
rnacentral:misc_RNA from 1 species